GAUGAACGCUGGCGGCGUGCUUAACACAUGCAAGUCGAGCGAAGCGCUUUGGUUAGAUUCUUCGGAUGAAGACCUUUGUGACUGAGCGGCGGACGGGUGAGUAACGCGUGGGUAACCUGCCUCAUACAGGGGGAUAACAACCAGAAAUGGUUGCUAAUACCGCAUAAGCGCACAGGACCGCAUGGUCCGGUGUGAAAAACUCCGGUGGUAUAAGAUGGACCCGCGUUGGAUUAGCUAGUUGGCAGGGUAACGGCCUACCAAGGCGACGAUCCAUAGCCGGCCUGAGAGGGUGAACGGCCACAUUGGGACUGAGACACGGCCCAGACUCCUACGGGAGGCAGCAGUGGGGAAUAUUGCACAAUGGGGGAAACCCUGGAUGCAGCGACGCCGCGUGAA
rnacentral:rRNA from 1 species